UCGACAUGAAAUUAAUUUCCAGCUAACUCGAUCGAUUCGAUCUUUUCAUGAUUAACAGGAUUUGAUUUACCGUCUAAAAGAUGAAUCGCUACGCAAUCCACCAAAACAACUUUGCUUCCUUUGAACUUUGAAGAGGUGAGGGGCAGAUCUGCAGAGAUGAAGGAAACCGUCAUCUGCCCUAAGCCGGGCAGCUCGGCUUGCUCCAGACCACGCAUCAUGACCUGAGACCUCUACGAUGGCACGCCAGCCAUCACCAAGAGCUAUUUGAUUCCAAAGCCGGAAGCGAGCUUCUGGACAUCAUCCUAGCAAAGGGUGGUUGUGGUAGUGAUCAAGCAGUCCCGCCGAUAGCCUCGUCGUCGCCCCCAUUUUUUUCAGGGUCGCCGCCGAGCAGAGUAUCUAAUUCAGGACGCGCGGUUCGGGGAAGAGCGCUUCACCCCUGUUUCCCCCUCCUCCACCCGCAAGGGUGGCUGUGUCCGGGCGAAUUUCGGGAACAACCCGGCCGUGAGGGUGGAGGGGUUCGACUGCCUCGACAGGGAUAGGCGCAACUGCAGCAUCCCUGCCCUGGCUUAAAGGUCCCAACAUUUAGGAGAGUUUUGAACAAAACGAGCUAAGUUGAGUGAAGGAUGAUGGAUCGAUCAUUCAAUCAUAUUUAGCUAACACUAUUGUGAAUAUAUGGAAGUUGUUUGCAGGUGUCUGUAAUUAAAUGAUUGUGUAAAUAAGUUAAGUAUUUUGACCAGGAAAUAAUAUUAGGGAAGUUCGAGUCUGAGAAUUGAGAGGUCCCUCCCUUUUGGUGUAAUGUUGUAAGGAGAGAGGAAGUAUGUUUUGAGAUUUGAGUAUGGGCGAAAUCUGUAUAGAAUGAUGCUGGCACUGAGUCAUGAUGUUUUGCAGUCGACAAAUUGAGUUUGUAAAUGCUGAAAUAUUAUACAAAUUUAAUGCCAUCUCCGUUUGAUAUUU